AUUGAACGCUGGCGGCAGGCCUAACACAUGCAAGUCGAGCGGAUGAAGGGAGCUUGCUCCUGGAUUCAGCGGCGGACGGGUGAGUAAUGCCUAGGAAUCUGCCUGGUAGUAGGGGAUAACGUCCGGAAACGGGCGCUAAUACCGCAUACGUCCUGAGGGAGAAAGUGGGGGAUCUUCGGACCUCACGCUAUCAGAUGAGCCUAGGUCGGAUUAGCUAGUUGGUGGGGUAAAGGCCUACCAAGGCGACGAUCCGUAACUGGUCUGAGAGGAUGAUCAGUCACACUGGAACUGAGACACGGUCCAGACUCCUACGGGAGGCAGCAGUGGGGAAUAUUGGACAAUGGGCGAAAGCCUGAUCCAGCCAUGCCGCGUGUGUGAAGAAGGUCUUCGGAUUGUAAAGCACUUUAAGUUGGGAGGAAGGGCAGUAAGUUAAUACCUUGCUGUUUUGACGUUACCAACAGAAUAAGCACCGGCCAACUUCGUG
rnacentral:rRNA from 1 species